rnacentral:rRNA from 1 species
UACAGAGGGUGCGAGCGUUAAUCGGAAUUACUGGGCGUAAAGGGCUCGUAGGCGGCCAACUAAGUCAGACGUGAAAAUCCCUCGGCUUAACCGGGGAACUGCAUCUGAUACUGGAUGGCUUGAGUUCGGGAGAGGGAUGCGGAAUUCCAGGUGUAGCGGUGAAAUGCGUAGAUAUCUGGAGGAACACCGGUGGCGAAGGCGGCAUCCUGGACCGGCAUUGACGCUGAGGCGCGAAAGCUAGGGGAGCAAACAGGG